GGGACUCUCGGUGGGGAAUUUGCUACGUUUGACUCAAGAACAGAGAAACCAACCCAGGCCUCGUAUCUACAUACUAAAGGCAUACAUGACUUGGAGUAUGGCACCGGAUGGCUUUCAGGGUUGCGCUCAAAAGGAGAGAAACAGCCUUUGGCCGCUCUUCAAGCCUCGCCUGGUUAAUCAUCCUCUCCGUUUUAUAUCUUCAACAAUGAGAGCAUGCUGGAGGGAGCAGGUUGGACUGGUUCUGCACAACAUGCAGCGAGCUGAGAAACACAAUCAGCCAGACUCAAAGAAGAGAGAAGUGAGAUGAGAAGUAGAGUAAUGCUGUUUUUGAAGCUACUAUUUCAGGGUUUUAUGUAUCUCGGUUCUCACUGUUCCCUCUUUGCUGUAUUAUAGUAGUCUGUGUGGUCAGUGUGUGCUCAAAUGCAACAGAAACAGCAAACGUAUCUCCAUCCAGAGGACAGAGAUACAGCCAGAAGGAAGGAGCAAAUCAUGGAGCUGACAUCCUUCUCGGCUCUGAGGGGAUUUAUCCAUUAGUCCACUCAGAGUGGUUGAAGCAAACAGACAGCUGCGUGCAGGAAGUCCCCAGCUGUGGCUCUCUGUCCCUUACCUCUCCGUUCCUCUGUGUGCUCAUCAAGUUCUCUUUAUCUUGUUAAAGGAACAGAGUAAGAUGAACAAUGACUUUAUUGCAUGUUUGUACAUUCACUCUAUAAAACAAAUAUAAAUCUGCCUGAAACAUUAAUGUACACGUCAUAUAUUCAUAUCUCUGGGAAAUAAUCCAUUUUAAAAGCAUAAACACAUAAAACAUAUCACAAUAAUUUUCAUAUUAAAUAAAACUAUUUACCAUAUGUCUUUAUAUUUCUGUUUUUAUCUCAUUGAACAAACAGAUUGAGGCAUUUUUCAAUCUGCACCAGAAACACCACACUUUGUCACUUUGUCUACUUCUUUUCACAAAAUUUCACCAAAGCUUCAGUUUAAACAGAAAACUUGCAAAAUAACUUGAUUUCUUCCCCUUUCUGUUUCUUCUUGUGUGAUUUUAUUUUAUAAAUGAUGAUGUGGUUUUGUUGUUUCAGAUCUAAUUGAUUGUUUAACAUUAAACAUCUGGAAUUAAAAUAAAUGAAUUAAGAGAAAA